rnacentral:rRNA from 1 species
UGGGGAAUAUUGGGCAAUGGGCGCAAGCCUGACCCAGCAACGCCGCGUGAAGGAAGAAGGCUUUCGGGUUGUAAACUUCUUUUAAGGGGGAAGAGGAGAAGACGGUACCCCUUGAAUAAGCCACGGCUAACUACGUGCCAGCAGCCGCGGUAAUACGUAGGUGGCAAGCGUUGUCCGGAUUUACUGGGUGUAAAGGGCGUGCAGCCGGGCUGAUAAGUCAGAUGUGAAAUCCCGUGGCUCAACCACGGAACUGCAUUUGAAACUGUCGGUCUUGAGUAUCGGAGAGGUCAUCGGAAUUCCUUGUGUAGCGGUGAAAUGCGUAGAUAUAAGGAAGAACACCAGUGGCGAAGGCGGAUGACUGGACGACAACUGACGGUGAGGCGCGAAAGCGUGGGGAGCAAACAGG